UCCCCACCGCAUCGGUUUCCCCUCCACAUUAUCUCCUCCACCCAACGCCCGAGAUCGCCGCCGCCUCAGUGUUCCCCUCUCACGAUUUCCCUCCUCUUGGCCACCCCAUACGACGGAGCACUCGCGGGAGCAUCCACGCUAGCUAGAGCAAUGGCGAGCUAGCCCAGCGUAGGGGCCAAGCGGGCCAAGGGCAGGGAUGGUCGGAGCUGCAACCGUCAUCCAACGCAGGCGACGGCCAGGACCGGGGGACGAGCUGAUGGUCGCCUUCGCGAGGUGCUGUUGCAGGCCUCCAUGGGGAUCUGCUGCCGGAGACACCCUGACUGCAUUUCCCGGCGAUGUCCGCGGCUUUCUGCUGCCGUCCACAAUUCCGUGUCACAAGACGCAUCUCGCGCACAAGGGAUCGGGGCGGAUCUGCUUAGUAAAAGUCAUGUGCAGACCGGCGCUCUCCUUUUGGCCGAGGAUGCUGGCUGGUGCAGACUAGUGGAAGUCUGACGUAGUUACUUGUGGUAGCUACAAAUUUUUUUUUUUUUGACUUUGUUUAGAUGAUUUCUGGUUCAAAUCGUAUUGGAUUUCCCUACUCCUGCAUAUAUUGUUUGUUAUAUAGGCUAUCGAUCUGGAUAGUGGUAGUGCUUGCAAGCUAGCACAUUUACAGUUUGGUCAUACUAACUGAUCAUUUCUAUUAUGUUUUUCACUAAGCUUUGCUUGCUAAAAUGUUGUAUCUAUCCGUGGCCGCGACUGUUGGGCCAUACUUCUGGCUCGGUAGCGCUCUCGCAUCCAGCACGGGUUCAGCUGGUUUGGAUGUGCCCCUGGAGCCUGCCACUGGUCUCCCUCGUCGAUGGAAUGUUCGUAGACAUGUGGUGUUCUCCCUUGCCGGUAGGACAUCUUUUCUCUGCGCAACACCGACAUACUGAGACCGGUGUUGACAACAAUCCUCGGAUCUAACACCUAGGAUUUCUGUGUUCUCUGUAUGCAUUUUCACUGUGGAUAAUUAGUUCAUUGUCUACCAUUUUGAACUCAUUACGGGUAUAUUGCAUUUUUUCCCCUUUAUCUGCAUGUGGUUGUACUUUGUUUCAAUGUUGCAACGGUUUUUUAUGCUCAAGCAUAGAUUUUUGGCAACCUGUAAGUGUCUCCUGAUCUUGUUACCUGAGAUUGUUUUUGAGUUUAGACUGUUUCUCCUCACCCCCUACCUUCUGAUCCUAUGCUACUGGUGCUAGUGGCGCUUUACUAUUGAUAAUGAUGUACAUUGUCAUGUGAUGCUCUGGCUCCUGGUUUCAGAUUUCCUAGGUGUUGACGAUACUUGCUGUCACUUGCCGAUUUUCUUAUUUUAAUGUGCGUUUACGCUGCUACAUGUGUGUUGUCACUCUUCUUGAUAGUUAUCAAGUUGAGCUGCCGGGUUCCUAGUCAAUGAGAAGGCUCCAUCAGUAGCGUUAACCACACAUGCCUUUAUUUUUAAAUAUGCCAAGUAGUGGCUUUUGUCUUGACUUUAGCUAUUUGUUGAAUGUUGGUUUUGAGUUGGAUGAGUGUUUUGGAUAGAAAUAUGUGCCUUUCCAGUGGGCUUCCUUGGUUUACUUGACUUAAUCAAUGUCAACCUUAAACAUGGAGUUCUAAUAUAAGGGGGUUUUGACUGUAAUGUUACCGGUUGAAAUUGUUGGAGCCGAUAUGGACUAGUGAAUGAAAGUGUCUAUGAUAUCUUCUGAUUUAACACAAUAUAUGUUUCAUAACCCGAAUCCUCUCUGUUGUAAACCAUCUGGGGUUUGACCCUUUUUUUUCAAUAUAUUCAGGUGGGGAACCUCUCCCCCCCGGUGACCAUUCGAAAAAAAAAUAACCUGAAUCCUUUGGUCUAAUUUAGGACUUUCCAGUACUAGUAUAUUUUAUUUUACCUAAUUCUAGAGGUGAAGCCCACUAGUUUCCGGUUCCUGUGGGUCCAGUUGCAGGGCUUCCAUACUCCUCCCAUACUGAUUUCGAGAACUUCAUUGAGCCGGUUUCUUCCACUAAUCCCGAAGUGGAGCUUGGAUCCAAAGAUACUGUUUUUGAAGACCGAGUUUGACUUUUUUCCUUAUUGAUGCCUGUCCUGUUACUUAUCUUAGUACGAAUCUCGUUGAGUCUAGUGUUCUUGGGGGUUUGGUGCCAUAGCUAUGUAAUUUUACUUAAUACAGUGAUAAAGUUGAUAUGUGUUGGUUAUAAAGAUUUAAAAUAUAUUUACUCUCGUAUAUCCUAGUACUAUUUGACUUUCUCUCAAGAAAAUAAGUAUUAUUUGACUUUGUAUGGUCGUGAUUAGAAAUUGCAACCUUGUAUUUGAUAUGAUGUUAAAAAACAAUCCGGUACAUGCUCACCUAGAAAGAAAGGACCAUGUGAUUUUUUACCAAUGUUCUAGUCAGUUCUCUAUGUGGUAUGGCCCGUGGGGAUGCUGAUGUUCAACCUCUAACAUAAGGCAGCAAACCAGGGGUUGAGUUUGGCUGGCACUUCAGCUAUGGGUAUAGUAGCCCAUGCCAAAUUUGCCAAUGGCAUACACAUAUGUGCCUUGCAUUUGCUAAUUCAACCAUAUAAGUUUAUAUUUUUGGAUUAGUUCAUGGAUUAAGGACGCCACUUAAUGUUUAAAUGACUCAUAUUACUCCUCUCUGUUUUCCUUUAGAUUGCCACCUUUUGGUCUUCUGUUUCUGCAGAACUUUGUUAUUUUGUUUCUUUUGAAUUCUGUUCUUCCAAAUUAUAUCCAUUAAAUGUGUUUGAUUGUGACUAUUUUGUGCAUGGAUGCAUGAAAGGAUACACAAUACCUUCGGUAGGUAUAUGACUAGAUGCGGGGCUUAUUACUGGUAAGCAGUUUGUGUGUUCAUUAGAGGUUUGGUAUGUGGUGGUGAAGUCUUGCUGGUUUAGUAUCUUGUUAUUUUCUUCAGUUUGAUGAGGAGGGUAGCAGUUACUAGUUGGUGACAGCACUCCUUUCUUGCUUCCUUCUACUCCUUGAUAGCUAUCUUGUAAGGUGUUGGGUGUAUUUUGGUAUGCCGAGUGGCUUUUUCGUUGACAACACUCCUUUCUUGCUUCCUUAUACUCCUUGAUAGCUAUCUUGUAAGCCGAUGGGUGACGUUUGGUAUGCCGAGUGGAUUUGCUACGUAUGUGGUUUAAUGGUUGGAUGCAAUUGGUUUUCUUUUAGCAUCUUGGAACAAAUAUGGUUUAGCUGGAUUAAAACAUGAAAGCUCCACGAACCUAAAUAAGCUUCCUUUUGACUAAUUAUGAUGCUUACCUUACUAGGUGGUUCUGAGUAGUAUAUUUCAUAUUUUAGGUUUAAAUUUUGGUGUCGGCUAGCCCAUGUACACCUAGAUACAUUUUAAUAUUGGUUAGAUCUAAACAUUCACUCGUGGUGUGCAAUAUUUGUUAGAUGCAUAAAUACAACGUGCAACCGCUGCCCCUUUGUUCUUCAUUGCAGAUUAAUAUAACAAAUUCGAAAUACGUUAUGUUUAUAUGAAUCUGAAUCAAGAUUUGAGAUCAAAUUCUACUGAUGUCUAUUUCAUUUUAAUUGGGAAAGUGUAGCGUUAUCUUAAUGCAUGAAUCGGUCAGAACUGUUUGACAAUAGUUAUUUUAUUGCCCAAGGAUUCUAUGUUCUCUUUAUUUAGUUUACUUUAGGAUUAGAAUUUAUCUAUUAGUUCUUCUGUGUAGCAUUUGAAUUGGUGUAGGUUCUAGAUUUCUUUCUUGCUUAGUUAGGAUCUGAUUUUUUUAGGCUGGAUGUGAAUAAUCAAGUGAAUAAUCUAAGUUACAUCUACUUAGUACAUGUUCAUGUCUAACUCUCAAUUUUAGUAUUGUUGUGGUGCUUGCUUACCUUAUAAAGGAAGGAUAGUUUUUAUUUAUGCUGAACCUUUUAAGACUUAUAGUUAAUGAUAGAAUGUUAUGUGUGUAAUGGUCAUUGCUUUAUUUUAAGAAAAAGAAAGUUUGAGCGGGAAGAGCUGUAUUGUGUGCUGGCGGGUGGCGAACAUGAUACAUGCCCUGCUCCCGCGGCCUUGACCGAGUACCCCUGCCUCGACCUAGCCGACGACCCAAGCAUGACGCUGCUGCAUGUCUUCACUGAGUGUGGUUCUGCCACAGUGAGGGCAAGGACGAGAGGGAAGCUAGAACCAAUAGCCAUACUACUUGGAACCUGGAUGACCCAUGGACGGCCGAGACAUGUGUGGUUCUCCUUCUUCGUUGAUAUCAUCAAUUGCGCGAUGGGCAAGAAGGAGGCAAGAUGGGACCAGUAGCUGCACAACUUGGAAUCUGGAGGACCUGGGGACGGACAACCCAGACAGUCUACAUGCCUUUGUAUCGCCAUCUACCUUGCCAACUCUACCUAGCAGCUGAUGAUCAACAGUUGCACAAUGGGCAAGGGGAGGACUAAAUGAUAGGCAAGUGUGAACCAGUAGGUGCACUAGUAAGCUGGAGUUCCCAGGGAUAACCGGGACAUGUCUAGGUUCUUAUUUUCUACUGAUAAGCAUUAAUUGCGCAACGGAUUUCUUAUCACUGGAGUGUUGCGCUUGAGAGCAUCUUCGUAGGAAAAUAAGAUUGUCGUAUGGUGCCGUGGCUGCAAUGCUUGGCCUCAGGACAAGUCUUGGUAGUGCUGUUGUGAUGGGUCCAACUUCUGGUGCCUCAUGUGCGGUUACAGGCCUUGCUGUCAUUCAGCUCUAUCCUUGCUAACUCGUGAUGUCGGAAAGUGAUGGCUUUCGUCUAUGUCUCGGUGUUUUGGGCUGCGCAUGGUGUGGUGCAGAGGGUGGGCACGGACGACGUGGCUAUCAACUACUCUCUACAAAAAAAUUAUUGCUGGAAGUUAACCUUUGUCAUUCCCUCAGGACAAGUCUUGGUGUUGCAACUGUUCUCGUCGUAGCUUCCCGUGCCUCAUGUGCGGUUGUAGGCCUUGCUGUUAUUCAGCUCUGUCCUUGCUGACGUGUGAUGUUGGCAAGCAAUAGUCUUCCUCUACGUCUCUGUGUUUUGGCUUUUUCCUUGCUGACGUGUGAUGUUGGCAAGCGAUGGUCUUCCUCUACGUCUCCGUGUUUUGGGUGAGCUUCUGCUUUCCUGCUUAUCUCCUCUAGGUUCUUGUUAUGUAUUGUAGGGUUUGGCUGGUGAGUACUGCCUUAGUUCCUUGUUUAAGAUAUUUAGAAUUCAUAGGGGGCUCAAUUUAGUUGCUAGUUGUCGUCCUGAUCUUAGUGUACUAAUGCAUCCUUGGGGUAUAUUGCUAUGCUGCUGCUGAGGUUGGAAUUUGCUGGUGUUAGUAGUAUUCUCUAACUUUUUACAUCUCUUCGGUCAUAGUAAUGCUUCUGUGCGUGUGUUGUAAUGGUUAAGUUGUUAAUCCUGCGUAGUUGAUCAAUCAGUAUCUACACAUGUCUAAAUCCUUAGUUUUUUGUUUAAAUAAUUAUCCACUCAUUGAUAUGCACUGUUUGUUAAUUAUUUUUCAUGUGUCAACUUGAAUGCUUUCUCAAUGAUGAUGAACUUGGCCUUCUACUGACUGAUUAAGCAGUGGUUGCUGCUGGGUAUCAAACAACAACGCUUUCCUGCUUGUAGUAGCAUUGCUACCUCUCCAGGAUAUCUAGCUAUCUCUCUAGGAUAUCCCGAUUAGCAGUUCUAAGUUCAUGAGUAGAGUUUCUUGUAUAUUGUAGGCUUGCAGAACCAUGGUAAUAUUGUUGGGAUGCUUUAUUUUAGCUUUGCUUUAUCUACUGUGAGAACUGGUAGUUUAUAUCCAGCGAGGUCUCAUCAGGAAAAUGUAGUUUUGAUUCAUGCAGUAAAUGUUUGCCAAUGCAGAGAUGCUAGAGUGCAAGGAAACCAAUGGUUUUAAAGAAAAUAUCUGUCAUUGUAGAGAUGCUAGAGUGCAAGGAAACCAAGGACUUUGACAAUGGUAUUACUUAGGUUGCGCAUGGUGUGGUGCAGGGGUUGGGCGAGGACGGCGUGGCUCUUAGUGACUCCGAUGUUGAUUGUUGACCGCAAUUAUGUGUUUAGUUCGGUUAGCCUCUGACCACUUCUGUCCGUUGUUGACUGUAGCCUGUUAUUUAUAUAAUAAUAAUGUCCCUACUGUUGUUGUAAUAUUCAGGGGAACUGUGUAUGUCGUUAUUUUUGUCGAGUUGAGUGGAACUUAUAGUAAUAUGUGUAGUUAUUUCCUUGAAUUUGUGUUCAAUGAAAAUUAAACUUGUUUUGGCUUAAUGGUAGGUUUAAAUGUGACAUGAUUGAGUUGUGCUUUGGUUACUUGUAUUACUAGCCAUUUGGUAUCUGGUGUGAAUGUCCGAAAAUCAUUGGUG